rnacentral:misc_RNA from 1 species
AGUCGACUGGAGGCGCUACGCAGCUGAUGAUGAAUUCAUCAUGUCAUCAUUGCCAUCAGUAAACCAGACAUUUCCCAGAAAUUCAUCAUGUGAUAGAACUGUAAAUAGUGAUGCACUGUGAAUAGUAUCUGUUAAUUAUCAUGACAAUGGGUGGCAUUUGUUGCAUUUUGCAUUGUAUAGAGCUCAUUACAAUACUUUAAUAUUUAUGAAUGUUUCUAUUGAACCUCAGUGUACAUGUACCAUGAUUAACAUCUUGCAAAACAGAACAGUUUUAAAAUGAAUAGAUGUUGAUGAAAUGUACUUAAAGAUUAAUUUAAUACUCCCCUUUUGUCAGCACCAAAAUUUUGAGACAUAUUAACUUUAUCAUAUCAAUAAGUUCUUUUUAUCAAUAAGUUCUUCGGUACUGGUAGGGAUGCUUUGUAGAACUUUCUAUUUAUAGAGCUGAGUUACACAGUGAUGCAAACAGUUGUUUCUGUCUAAAUCCACCAAAUUAAAUGUGAUUUAUUUAUACAUGGUGUUUAAUGUACCUUUGUAUGGUAGCAUGUGUAUAUCAGACAUGUAUCUCAGUUAGGAAUCCUUAUUUAUUCUUUUUUCUUAUACCUCGUGACAAAUGAACAAAUAAAAUUAUGAAAAUGCU